GGGGUUGUGGCUCAGCAGUAGAGGGCUCACUUAGCACGUGUGAGACCCUGGGUUCGAUUCUCAGCACCACA
rnacentral:tRNA from 1 species